ACUUUAGUGCCUGAUAAAAGGGCUGUUUUGAUAGAACAGAUUAUGCGUAACGUCUAAGGUG
rnacentral:tRNA from 1 species